CCCUUAGAUGUCCUGGGCCGCACGCGCGUUACACUGAUGCAUUCAACGAGCUUAUAACCUUGGCCGAGAGGCCCGGGCAAUCUUGUUAACGUGCAUCGUGAUAGGGAUAGAUUAUUGAAAUUAUUAAUCUUGAACGAGGAAUCCCUAGUAAACGCAGAUCAUCAAUCUGCAUUGAUUACGUCCCUGCCCUUUGUACACACCGCCCGUCGCACCUACCGAUUGGAUGGUCCGGUGAAGCCUCGGGAUUGUGGUUCUUGCCGCUUUAUUGUGGCGUGACCGCGAGAACUUGUCUAAACCUUAUCAUCUAGAGGAAGGUGAAGUCGUAACA
rnacentral:rRNA from 1 species